AUGGAUUUUAUUAUUCGCACCUUUUUGAAGGGUGGUUAUUGCGUACACUUACAUCGAUCAGUGUAUAAGACAAGUUGUUGUGGAGCAGGCACUGCUGCUGAUACAGAGGCAAUAAUAGGUAUGAACACCGUCUUAUAUAUGAUAUGGUUGUGUAUGCUGUUAAAAGUGACGGAGGCUAUGUAUAGGCCUGAAAGAAUUAUGAUGGGGAUGUGCAGAGUGGAACACACAAAUAUUAUUUUAGUCUCAGUAAUAUUUAUAUUUAUACAGUCAAUUUACUACAUUUUAUUGUUUAGAAUUCAAUUCUAA